rnacentral:misc_RNA from 1 species
UAAAAGAGUUCAAAAGACUCUCCAAACCCACUGCGAACAUACCUGUAUCGUUGCUUCGGCGGGCGGCCCCAGGGCGGGGCCUGGGCCGGACCUCUUCGGAGUCAGGUGCCCGCCGACGGCCCUUAUAAACUCUUGUAUAUAGGCAUUCUGAGCGACGAAGAUGGAAACGAAUUAAAAACUUUCAACGACGGAUCUCUUGGUUCUGGCAUCGAUGAAGAACGCAGCGAAAUGCGAUAAGUAAUGCGAAUUGCAGAAUCCCAGUGAAUCAUCGAAUCUUUGAACGCACAUUGCGCCCAUUAGCAUUCUGAUGGGCAUGCCUGUUCGAGCGUCAUUUCAACCCUCAGGCUCUUAGCUGGCCCGGCGUUGGGGCAUCUGCGACGAUCGCAGGCCCUAAAAGACAGUGGCGGUACCCGUUAGCACUCCGGGCGUAGUAGAUUUAUUUCUCGCCUAGGACGUCUAGCGGGCUUGCCGGCCGUAAAACGCUCUAAUCUUCGGAAGGUUG